ensembl:lncRNA
AGAAUCACUUGGAGAACUUUGAAAAAUGCAAAAGCCAAAGCCUCACCCUGAAAGAAUUAGUUGCUAUUAGUCUGAGUUGGACAAGUUGGACAAGAAACUGUUUGGCUUUUAUGCAUCUCCGUGGAGACCCAUUAUGGCCCUGUAUUGAAAGCAAUCAAUCAAUCAGUCCUGAUCAACUGAAAGGCUGGGCUCCAGCUCCCCAUAAUGGCAGAAGAAGAUGGUGGUUCUCCAACCACGGGUUCUGAUGAAGAACACCCAGCUGCUAGCUUACCGUAACAAGCAGGGCAACCACAAGGCUUGGACUCAGCCUGUGACCAUGAAACUGGAGCUGUCUGGAUACACUGGAGCUCAAGUUCUGCCACAUUGCUAUUAAACACUAGCAUGAGACCAUUACAGAAAACUUUGGAAUGUUUGCCAAAUACCCAAGACAAAAGGAGAAGGAACUCAGCUCUGCCUGACAUCCUCAGCUGUGGGCCCUGAUGUUCCAUUUCUUUGACUCCCUGCAGCUGAAGGAGGCAUUUUCAUCACAGCGGCCUAGGUGCAUGUGUGCAUGGGUCUAUGUCCACAGCCUGCCUAUUUCUAACGCCCGCUCCCUGCCCCACAAAAUGAGGUUCAACAACUAUAAUCCAGCACUGCAAAGGAUGUGCAUUUAUAUUUUAAGUGCAUACAAAAUAAAGUAUUUCUCCUAGCCUUGCUGUGUCAAUAAGAGCAAAAACUAAACCACAUUACUCUCCAGAUUUUAGUUGUCACUACCAAUUUCCAGAUUCUGCUUAGGAGAGCAGUCUCAAAUAAGAAAACUGAAGAUAAGAAAGAAUCUGGGGAAGCUGUAAACAGCUGCCAACUUCCGUCCCCAACGUGGGUCCUCCCCUCCUCCCCCUCUGCUGCAGUCCUGGCUUUUGGAACCCGCUGCCCUCUGGGGACACAGUCCGCCCUCCACCAUCCUACCUACUAGCUCCGCAUCUCUCUCACGUCUUUUUAAAAAGAUAUUUUGGGAAGCAGCACACGCACAUCCAGAGACCAGUUACUCAAUCUCCCAGCAAGUAUGGAGAUGAUGGAAGUAUAGCCCUUUGGUUUCCUAGCAACAGCGUGGGGGGAGGCUGGAAAGCGAGCUGGUUGCCCAGCACCACCUUGCGUAGAAGGCAUUUGCGCAUUUGGCUUUUGUUGUCUUUGACGGCCAUUUCUAAAAACGGGCUCUGUAUUCUUGGGGGGAUUUUAGGCACUUAAGUUAUUCUUUUAAAAGCUCUCUGCUGACA